rnacentral:tRNA from 1 species
ACCCGGGUGGCUUAGUUGGUUAAGCGGCUGACUUUGGCUCAGGUCAUGAUCUUGUGGUUCGUGGGUUCAAGCCCUGCUUCAGGCU